rnacentral:lncRNA from 1 species
CUCUCUGGUAUCAAUUAUAAAGUCACUGUGGAGGCCAACGUAUCCCUGAGUGGGUCAGGCUCAAUAGUGCGGUUGAGGAAAGAGAGGGAGAGAGGCAGAGGAUUAGAAGGAGGGUGGGGUCAUUUAGGUGGACCUGUAUCUAAGCGUUACACCUUCAGACUCCUUCAGCCUGUCUGGCCUCAGUACCAUGAGAAACCAGUCAGACUCAUGAUCCAGGCUGCCCCCAGCCCUCUCGUUCUCUCUGUUCCACUUCACUCCCCGGUGACAGAUGGAAUGGGGUUGGUGGACUGAGAGACCAUUAUCCCCAGUUACCAUUUACCCAGCAACAGGAUCAACAUAUGACCCAUAUCUCCCGACAAUGCUCCAUGCCACACAGCCAAGUCAAUCAAGGUGUGGAUGAAGGACCACCAGAUCAAGACCCUGUCAUGGCCCGCCCAAUCUCCAGACCUGAACCCCAUUGAAAACCUCUGGAAUGUGAUCAAGAUGGAUGGUCACAACCAUCAAACAAAGCAGAGCUGAUUUAUUUUUUUGUGCCAGGAGUGGCAUAAAGUCACCCAACAUCAAUGUGAAAGACUGGUGGAGAGCAUGCCAAGAUGCAUGAAAGCUGUGAUUGAAAAUCUGAGUUAUUCCAUCAAAUAUUGAUUUCUGAACUCUUCCUAAGUUAAAACAUUGAGUAUUGUGUUUAAAAAUGAAUAUGAACUUAUUUUCUUUGCAUUAUUCGAGGUCUGACAACACUGCAUCUUUUUUGUUAUUUUGACCAGCUGUCAUUUUCUGCAAAUAAAUGCUCUAAAUGACAAUAUUUUUAUUUGGAAUUUGGGAGAUAUUUUGUCAGUAAUUUAUAGAAUGAAACAAAAAUGUUAAUUUUUCCCUAACACAUACAUAUAAAUAGUAAAACCAGAAAAACUGACAAAUUUGCAGUGGUCUCUUAAUUUUUUUCAGAGCUGUAUAUAUGUGCGUCAUGCACAGCAUGACUAUUGACAGUGUAAAAUCAAUCUAACCCUUUUAUUGCAUACACAUCUGAGGUUCCUUAGAAUAAAACAGCAUAUCCAAUUC